rnacentral:rRNA from 1 species
AGAGUUUGAUCCUGGCUCAGGAUGAACGCUGGCGGCGUGCCUAAUACAUGCAAGUCGAGCGAACGGACGAGAAGCUUGCUUCUCUGAUGUUAGCGGCGGACGGGUGAGUAACACGUGGAUAACCUACCUAUAAGACUGGGAUAACUUCGGGAAACCGGAGCUAAUACCGGAUAAUAUUUUGAACCGCAUGGUUCAAAAGUGAAAGACGGUCUUGCUGUCACUUAUAGAUGGAUCCGCGCUGCAUUAGCUAGUUGGUAAGGUAACGGCUUACCAAGGCAACGAUGCAUAGCCGACCUGAGAGGGUGAUCGGCCACACUGGAACUGAGACACGGUCCAGACUCCUACGGGAGGCAGCAGUAGGGAAUCUUCCGCAAUGGGCGAAAGCCUGACGGAGCAACGCCGCGUGAGUGAUGAAGGUCUUCGGAUCGUAAAACUCUGUUAUUAGGGAAGAACAUAUGUGUAAGUAACUGUGCACAUCUUGACGGUACCUAAUCAGAAAGCCACGGCUAACUACGUGCCAGCAGCCGCGGUAAUACGUAGGUGGCAAGCGUUAUCCGGAAUUAUUGGGCGUAAAGCGCGCGUAGGCGGUUUUUUAAGUCUGAUGUGAAAGCCCACGGCUCAACCGUGGAGGGUCAUUGGAAACUGGAAAACUUGAGUGCAGAAGAGGAAAGUGGAAUUCCAUGUGUAGCGGUGAAAUGCGCAGAGAUAUGGAGGAACACCAGUGGCGAAGGCGACUUUCUGGUCUGUAACUGACGCUGAUGUGCGAAAGCGUGGGGAUCAAACAGGAUUAGAUACCCUGGUAGUCCACGCCGUAAACGAUGAGUGCUAAGUGUUAGGGGGUUUCCGCCCCUUAGUGCUGCAGCUAACGCAUUAAGCACUCCGCCUGGGGAGUACGACCGCAAGGUUGAAACUCAAAGGAAUUGACGGGGACCCGCACAAGCGGUGGAGCAUGUGGUUUAAUUCGAAGCAACGCGAAGAACCUUACCAAAUCUUGACAUCCUUUGACAACUCUAGAGAUAGAGCCUUCCCCUUCGGGGGACAAAGUGACAGGUGGUGCAUGGUUGUCGUCAGCUCGUGUCGUGAGAUGUUGGGUUAAGUCCCGCAACGAGCGAGAUGUUGGGUUAAGUCCCGCAACGAGCGCAACCCUUAAGCUUAGUUGCCAUCAUUAAGUUGGGCACUCUAAGUUGACUGCCGGUGACAAACCGGAGGAAGGUGGGGAUGACGUCAAAUCAUCAUGCCCCUUAUGAUUUGGGCUACACACGUGCUACAAUGGACAAUACAAAGGGCAGCGAAACCGCGAGGUCAAGCAAAUCCCAUAAAGUUGUUCUCAGUUCGGAUUGUAGUCUGCAACUCGACUACAUGAAGCUGGAAUCGCUAGUAAUCGUAGAUCAGCAUGCUACGGUGAAUACGUUCCCGGGUCUUGUACACACCGCCCGUCACACCACGAGAGUUUGUAACACCCGAAGCCGGUGGAGUAACCUUUUAGGAGCUAGCCGUCGAAGGUGGGACAAAUGAUUGGGGUGAAGUCGUAACAAGGUAGCCGUAUCGGAAGGUGCGGCUGGAUCACCU